rfam:Desulfosporosinus orientis DSM 765, complete genome.
UCCACCGUGAGGUGGAAUCUGAAGGAAGCGUGAUGAGCAAAAUUCCGGCCUGAGGAACACUGGGGCCGGCUAUUCAAAUAAUGGGUAGCCUC